GACUAUGGCCAUACCACCCUGAACAUGCCCAAUCCCAUCUGAUCUCAGAAGCUAAACAGGGUCGGACCUGGUUAGUACUUGGAUGGGAGUUUAGGGGGGAAAAAAUAUUUAAAGACU
rnacentral:rRNA from 1 species